GGCGCCGUUGCCUUCCUGGGAUACUGUGUUUACUUCGACUGGAAGCGGCGUGGUGACCCCGCGUUCAAGCGCCGCCUGCGGGACAGUGAGUCCGACGCCGGCGGAGGAGGGGCGGAGCGGGCGGGCGGGCCCGCGGGUGCCGCAGCCACCGAGGGGCCGAGGGGCGCACGCCGGCGGCCGGGUGGCUCCCAACCAGCACGUGCCACGUUGUGUUUGCAGAAAGAAGAGCCCAGCAGCAAAAGACCGAGGGUCAGGGCGCCCAGUUGUGGGAUCCAGCAAGGAAUGAAAAAUUGCAAGAACUUUUUCUGCAAGAGGUACUAAUGGGAGAACUUUGGUUAUCCAGAGGAGAGCACAGAAUGGGGGUUGAACACCUCAGCAAUGCCCUUUUAGUGUGCAGGCAACCGAGGGAACUUCUGAAGGUCUUUAAGCACACACUGCCUCCCAAGGUGUUUGAGAUGCUGUUACACAACAUUCCCCUUCUUUGCCAGGUAUUUAAUCAUAAAUUAUGCUGACUGACAAACUCUAACAGCCAAGCAAACCACUGAUGGCAAGAACAGGCAGUGGCAAUGUGACUGCCCUUUUACUUGGUCCUAGUUUCCAGAUACUACAGCCAAUGUUUGUUAUUGUAGAGGUAAACAUGCAUUGAGGGGGUACCUUUUGAUUAUAUUCCUGAAACCUGGAGAUGGAGGGAGGGAGUAAGCAAGUUCCUGAAUCCCUGGCUUAGGUCUUGGGAAUGAUUACAGCAAUGCUAAAUUACUUUUGUGCCAAAUCAAAUAUAUCAUAAAACCAGGGAACUUAAGAGUAAAGGGAGAUCUUAUCAGCCAUCAGG